GCUGUUAUCCCCACUGAACAAAGGGGAAAUGGAGGCACAGGGAGACUUAGGUUGGGAUCCACAAAGGUAUUUAGGCACCUACGUCCCAUUUUGAGGCCUCACUGCACUCCUCAAACCUCCUGCUUCCCCAUGGCUGGGGCUGAAGGCAGGGAAGAGAGAGAGAGAAGAUACAUGGAUGUGGUCAUGUGUGGAUAGCUGGACAACUUGCCGUGGGUGACCACGUAAGAAGCUGUGCAUGAUUCAAUGACAAAACCACUUACCUCCCUCCUCUGGACAGAAGGUGCUAACUCAUUGGCAUGGACACCCUGGGCCCAUUUCUUAGCAGCUGUAGGGCCCCACAUCACAAAGAGGCCAUAAAAGAGUGGGUCUCCUCUCCUCCCUACCCCUGGCUGUGUCCCUGGGGUAAGAAGCCUUGCCAGGAGGGGUGCUAAGUAGAUACAGGGGUCGGUCCUCAGCAUCGCUGGAGAGCGGAGACCCAGGGAGAGCCUGAACGGCACGCCGCAUUUGGCGCUCGAAUGGCGUUCAACCAAGUGACUUCCAUUCAAACGGAGUAAGCUGAGAAGGAGAUGACACUUUGGAGGCAACGUCUGGAGCUAGACUCCCCUGGGUGUGUUUCUCCCGUUUAGGCAGCGCGGGAGGCGGCUGUCUGAGCAGGAAUGAGACCCUUGAUGGAGGAACUUUGCUGUGCCACAAUACCCAGAGAAUGCUGAAUAUUCAUUACAUUUGACUUCUGCAAGUGCCUCUCCAGCAUUUGGUCAUGGAGCCAGCAUGCUUUAUUACAGCAAUGACUUUUUCUUUCCUUGCGGAAGGUGAUGUGGUUUUUACUGCCAGCUCAGUUUGCUCCUGCUCUAGGCUCCUUUCCCAUUGUGCAUAAGCUUUUCAAAUUUAUCUCUGAAAAGAGAGACGGGGGAAAAAUUCCGAUUAGCUUCAGUGCUUCAACUCCGUGAAAGGGAGAUUUACUGUCCUGUUAGAUGGAUGAGGGUGCCCAGCCUCUGAACUUUCACUUUCAAACAGGAGGUUAUUGCAAUAAAUACAAAGCCAGAUGACUGCACUUCCCAGUGAGGAGGAAGGAGACAGCUCCAUUUUCACCUCUGUCCUGGGGUGAGCGAGGCAACUUUCCUAAGGGGCCUCAUGCAGCCUGUGCUCAAAAUGGUGGAAGCCAUGGACACCCCUACAGUCCCUGCAGCUCUUAAAAUUACUUAGCUUUUUUUUCUUGAUUUGUGAUUUAUUUUUAAUAAACAUAUCCGAGCAUAGUCACUCUGCUGUGUGUGCUGCUACCCUGGCCUAUGGGCUGGUUGGUGGGGUGCAUUAGAACUGGCCUAAACCCAGUCUGAGCACCCCAAACUGGGGAUCCUAACUUUGUGGUGCUGUUCCAAC